GCUGCUAAGAGACUUGCAGCGAAUUCAGGGCAAGGACUACCAGAGUUUAAGAAUGAAAUCUUGUUAAUAGCCAAGCUUCAACACAGCAAUUUAGUGGGACUCCUAGGUUGCUGCAUUGACGGGGAAGAAAUGUUACUAAUCUACGAGUAUAUGCCAAACAAAAGCUUGGAUUUCUUCCUAUUUGAACAAUCGAGAAGGGCUUUUUUAGUCUGGGCAAUGCGUCUUAACAUAAUUGAAGGGAUUGCACAAGGUCUUAUUUAUCUCCACAAGCAUUCUCGGUUGAGAAUUAUUCACAGGGACCUGAAACCAAGCAACAUUUUGUUAGACACUGAUAUGAACCCUAAGAUCUCAGACUUUGGAAUGGCAAGAAUAUUUGAUCCUAAAGGAGGACUAGCUAACACGAAAAGAGUCGUUGGAACAUAUGGCUACAUGGCUCCUGAAUAUGCUAUGGCAGGUAUUUUCUCUGUCAAGUCCGAUGUAUUUAGCUACGGGGUAUUGCUUCUGGAGAUCAUUAGUGGACUAAGAAAUGCCGCAGCUCGUGGACAUGGAAACUCCCUAAACCUCCU